UACGUAGGGGGCAAGCGUUGUCCGGAUUUAUUGGGCGUAAAGAGCGUGUAGGCGGCUUUACAGGUCCGUUGUGAAAACUCGAGGCUCAACCUCGAGACGCCGGUGGAAACCGUAAAGCUAGAGUCCGGAAGAGGAGAGUGGAAUUCCUGGUGUAGCGGUGAAAUGCGCAGAUAUCAGGAAGAACACCCGUGGCGAAGGCGGCUCUCUGGGCCGAUAUUGACGCUGAGGAGCGAAAGCGUGGGGAGCAAACAGG
rnacentral:rRNA from 1 species